AGGAGUGGAGUGGAGCGGUUUG
rnacentral:misc_RNA from 1 species